rnacentral:tRNA from 1 species
GCCCGGAUGGUGGAAUUGGUAGACACGCUUGACUUAGGAUCAAGUGCCGCAAGGUGUGCAGGUUCGAGUCCUGUUCCGGGUA